AUUGGCCAAAUCCUCAAAGAACUAUGAACGAGUGAGGUAAAUUGACGUUCUCCCAUCCCUCGGACACGCAGCUCGUAGUAACACAGCAUCUUGAGGUGUGAAGGAUUAAGAAUAUUGGCCAAAUCCUCAAAGAACUAUGAACGAGUGAGGUAAAUUGACAUUCUCCCAUCCCUCGUAGUAACACAGUAUCUUGAGGUGUGAAUGCGAUGAUAGGAAAGCCAGCAGUAAGUGAACGGCAGACUAUUUCCCAAGACUCCUGUAGACUGAGGAAGGGUGCAGUGUUGUCCCUCCUGACGCCGCCCUCGCUGGGUCCCCAUUGAGCAGUACGGGUGCAGUUAUAACGAUAGAUUUGCUCUCCUUUCUUCCUGCUGUUGUACAAUGCUGCUCCAUUAUUUAUUUGGCUGUCUCCCUGGUUGUGCCGCAGCCGACGAGGGUUAGUUAGCUACUUGCAGAAUAAGGUUUGUAAGACACGAGUACCUUCAAGGAGAGGUUGUCAUACUGCUUUUGUUGUUGUUGUUAUGAGUAUAAAUUAUUAUCAUUAUUAUUAUUAUUACCUCAGUACUUAGGAGUAAAUUUUCUGUACUUCCUUAGAUCUCACCGCAUGAAAGACAAUGGCUGAGGUUUCCCAUCCUUCUCAUUUGUCUUUUUAGAUUAUUAUUAUUAUUAUUAUUAUCAUUAUUAUUAUUAUCAUUAUUAUAUUGAUUACUAUUUAUUGUGAUGAAGGUAUUGGGAAGGAUUAAUUUUGGUGCAAUUUUCGAUGUUUAUAGCAGCUGCCAAUAGGUUAGCACGAGUCGUGUGUGUGUGUGUGUGUGUUUGCGUGUGUGUGUGUGUGUGUGCGUGUGUCUGCGUGUGUGGGUGUGUGUGUAGUGUUAAAUUCGUGCCCUUUUCCAUUGAGUCAUAGUCUUGGUUGCUAGUUUUGUGUUAGUUUGUUGUGUGUUUUCUACAGAACAUCACAUCCUCGGCACAAAGCAAGUUGUGUGUGUGUGUGUGUGUGUGUGUGUCAAUGCCUUCGUCAGUUGAGAAAGCUGCAAGUUCAAAUAGCACACACACACAGCACAGCUCACAGCACACAGUACAUGUAACAUAUUAAACAGAUGUGUGAUGCUCAACACCUGAACACACACACACACACACACACACAACACGCACACACAACACACACACACACACAACACACACACACACACACACACACACACACACUGAAUAGAGAGGUAUAUUAGUCUACUCUGUAUUGUAACUUACCAAUACUUUAUAGUCCUAAUUGGAAAACAUAUCACAGCACCGAGUCUUUUGGGGACGGCAGUGCUGAGGACAACUGAACCAAUAUAAACCAAAAUGUUGUAGGUAUUAGGUUAGCUAUUCCAUUUGUUAGGUUUUGUGCACCCCCCGGCCCCCCGUGUGUGGGGCGGCCGGUAGACGGAUAGGCAGACAAAAGGUGAUUAGCCAAGGCUGAAUGUGUUUGUACUUGAUCAAGUUGUGUUGCUCUCUGUGGAGUGGCAGUGUAAAUAGAGCGCUCGCUAAGAGUGCACCUGGAUGGUAUUAGAUUCUUUUCCCUUUCUUACUAGGCUGUGUAUCACACUUAUAAAAGAAAACCCAAGUUCUCGUUUUUUACAACACCGUUCAAUGAUUUUCACUCAGACCAGUAAUUGUACCUUCAUGUGAUGCUGGAGUCCCCGACAACACCGAGCACUGAUCUGUGACGUCUGUGAUGCUUGCGUGCCGCUGGCUGGCAGGCACGGCGACGGCCCUCGGUUGACCCGAGCGGUGACUGACCUGAAUUGACCCAAGCGGCGACCCGCAGACUGUGGGGCAGCGCGGCCUCAGCGACGCGCUGCCCCGCUGCUCGCUGCCAGGCGUGGCGGCGGCAGCAGCAGCAGCAGCAGCAGAAGCACUCCACAAACACUACUGUUGAUCCUGUUCCUAUAGAGCAUAAUCACUCAGCCCUGACACACACACAGAAUCAUUAGUAUUUGCACCUUUUUUACUGACAGACAGAAGCCUUGUGUAGUUGUUAAGGUCAAAGCAGUUGAUCACUUGUUGACUUGCUGUACAGGAAAGUUCUCAAGAGUUCAAAUGUGCAGUUUCUUUCAUUUUUGCUGUAUAGCGUUUUUUAACACAAAUCAUGAAUUUCAAAAAUAUUUAUAUACACAGAUACAUAUAUAUAUUACCAAGUACAGAAGUGCAAAUGGAAAACUUACGCAAACACUGCAUUCCUAUUCCCCCACAAGCAUUGUCAAAAUUUUGUUGAGCACUCACUCACGCCUUGCCACGGCGACGGAUGCGCCGGGCAGCCCCGGGGGAACGCUGGCAGCAUGGCGGGUGUCUGGGGUGGGGAUAAGGGCAGCGGUGUGUCUGGCCACCCCGGCACUGCACACAGGCAUUGGCUCAGCCCAAGGGAUAACGUAACAGUAGCCACCAAAAAUUAAAGUUAAGUGACCACCAGACAUUGAAUUUUCCUUAGUUUUUGUGAUGAGGUGAUGAUGCUGCCCACUACUGGUGUUUGUUAUUCAUGUGGAGCAGAACUUUACCUGCAGAGCGUGGUGUUUUGGUGUAGUGUUCCCUCUUAAGCACCAUCACAUUAGUAUCCUGUGUGGUGCUUGCUGUAUUGGGGUGCCUGUCUGUGUCUGCUGCCAGUGUCAUGCCCCUCAGAGCAGCGGGUGUGUUUUGGGUCCCGGUUUUCCUACUGUGAUAACACAAGAAGACUGCUUGGCGGCAGCUAACAGUGCCACGGGUGUGGGUGCCGCGCCUCCGUGCCAGGGGCUGCGUCACCUCCGCCCUGUGCACCUCACUGUCAGGCCACUGCUCCACCCUCUCAAGUAGUGUAGUGUUUUAUAUAUCAGUGUGAUGCCCUUUCUACACAUGCAUAUGUAUUUAAUUUACACAGUCAUAUCAUGAUGACCUCUUUGGUACUAUUUUUAAAACUUGCUUUCACUAGAUGUAUAUAUGAAAAUAAAGUAGUUGUAAUUUUUA